rnacentral:tRNA from 1 species
GCCCCCGUAGCCCAAUUGGCAGAGGCAACCGGCUUAAACCCGGUCCAGUACGGGUCCGACUCCCGUCGGGGGUA